GAGAUCGAUAGAUACAUAGAUACAUAGAUAGAUAGAUAGAUAGAUAGAUAGAUAGAUAGAUAGAUCUCCCAGGAUAUGUAAUGAUAUCCUAUCUCAAAAUAAAAUAAUUGUAAGCUUCAACAUAAUAUAAUGAGCUAAGUUCAGAAGCAGCUUCAGAAAUGAGAGUUCUUACCUUCCACACUCUCCUUUUUACACCUCCUCCCAAAGGAAGGUUUAAAAACAAGAAUAUCCCUUCCUCAAUGUAAGAAAACCAGACCUAACUAUUUUUCCCAAAGUAAGCAAAAACUACUAAAACAUUCAUCUUCACCAACCUCUUUGUCUUGCAGCUAGCAGUAACAAUCAUGAUGAUGAUGAUGAGGAGGAGGAGGAGGAGGAUGGUGAUUUUUAAAAUGCUACAAACCUCCCUUAUCCAAAAGCAGAUCAAGAUGAAGCAUUACCACUUAGAGAGUUGUGUCCAUACCCGAAAAAAGAAUGUAACACAGGGCAAAGAAGUACUGGAAACAAAUCUGGCUAGAUUUCUGCAUACAUUAUACCAGAAGUAAAUUAUAUACACUCCCUACAGUCAUAAUUCUACACAUUGGUAUGUUUUAGGCAGCUGUGUCUCGCACAUGCAGAAAAUUAAAACAGUGUCUUUUUGUUGUUUUCUUUUUUUCUAGAAAUUGAAACUUGAACCUGUGUCUGUAAUGUCAAGGUGAUAUGAAAAGACAGCAGAAGGAUUCAAAAAUGUCAAGGCCUGAAGCAUUCUACCAGAGCCAGUCAUGUGACAACACCUAGACUACAGGCAACUAAGCAAACAAAUCAUGGGCAGAUCAUGUAUGAAUAUUCCUUCCCACAAAGUGAAGUUUUACUGUGAAUAAAGAAUAUGCAGUUCCCCUGUAAUCAUGACCCUAUCAGUGUUUUAUUACUGAAGAAUAAAAUGUUUAAAUUA
rnacentral:sRNA from 1 species